UACAUGGGGUGCAAACGUUGCUCGGAAUUAUUGGGCGUAAAGCGCACGUAGGCGGUUUGUUAAGUCGGAUGUGAAAUCCCUCGGCUCAACUGAGGAAGUGCAUCCGAAACUGGCAGGCUUGAGUACUAAAGAGGGUCGCGGAAUUCCCGGUGUAGAGGUGAAAUUCGUAGAUAUCGGGAGGAACACCGGCGGCGAAGGCGGCGACCUGGGGUAGAUACUGACGCUGAGGUGCGAAAGCGUGGGGAGCAA
rnacentral:rRNA from 1 species